GAUCAGAAAGGGUAAUCCACACAUCGCUUAGAAGCACUAUCGUCUAACGUUAGAUGUGAUGUCGCUUCCGUGCAAUGUGCAUGCAAUUUACUCUGGUGAAUGACACCUUUCGAGCAUUCAGGGUUGACCGACAUUUCACAUCAUUUCCAGGAAGAGGCCCAUAAGAGAAGCUUCAGUAUUCAAGUGAUGCUGACCACAACUGGCCACAACUAUCACUAGGCAGAGAAUCCUUAUCACUCCUUGAAUAACCCAUCUCUAGCAAAAGGAUCAAGUCUUCAAGAGAUGCAGAGAAUACUGACAAUUGACCAGGCAGAUGGCCAACAGUGGCUGAGCAAAUAUGCUGUGAGCUUUUGUAGCAAUGCAGAGCACCCAUCAUUCGUCACAUUAAUUUUGAACUUCGGAGAGAAUCUCAGGGUUAACAUUUCCAGGUAGAGACCCGUAAGAGAAUCUUAGCAAGUAUUCAGGUGAUACUGAGAACAUUGAUUAUGGCAGCAAAGCAGAGAAUCCACCAUCACUCCUUGAAUCAUCAUCUCCAGAAAAAGGGUCUUCAAGCAAUGCAGAGAACAUCGACCAAUUGACCAGAUGACCCAAAGUGGCUGAGCAAACAUUUUGAGGGAUUCUGAUAAUUUUUGUUAUGGCAGCAGGACAGAGCAUCCAUCGUUCCUCACAUUAUUUUUCUAAGAGAGAAUCUCAGGAUUGACAGACAUCUCACAUCAUUUCCAGGAAGAGACCCACAAGAGAAGCUGAGAAAGUAUUCAAAUGAUGCUGAGAAUAUUGAUUAUAGCUACAUGGCAAAGAUUCCAUCACUCUUCGUUGUACUUUCAAAAGGAGAUUGGCAAGACAUCAUGUCGAGAACAAUGACAAUGGCAGCAGAGCAGAACAUCUCUUUCCUCAUUUCAUUCCGAGAAAGAUGACUUCAAGCGAUGUUUGGCAAAUCUUUAAUAGUAGGAGCAAGGCAGAGCAGCCAUGAAAUCCUUCAAAAAGAAGAAUCACCCGAGAGGUUUGUCAAGUAUUUCAACAGAUGCAAAUAUAAUUUUAAAUGUUGGUAAAGCACAGCAUCUGUAGUAAAAAAAAGGAAAAGGGAUUUGCUACAGAAUUUCUAUUGCAGCUGAUUUUUUUAUGUUUUAUUUUAUAGAUAUUGUUGUUGAUUUCUGUGUGUGUGUGUGUGUAUUUCCAACUAUGAAUCUGUUGUAUGGACUUGUAUACUCAGAUGUGACAUGUUUAAUUGUGUGUUAAAGUAGAACUAGAAAACCUACAAUCAUUAUAUUGGUAAUUGAAUACAUUGCAGAGAAAAAGAUUCUUUAAAAAAAAAUGAGUACAUGAAAAGUGGCAGCAUGUAUAACCCAAUGAUGCUAGGUCUGAAAAUUGGUCUAAUCCAGUAAAUUGACUUUUUGAUGAUGAUGUUUGCUAAUGACUGUUAUACAUGCUUUAAGAAGCCCAUUCAUUAGUAUUAUAGGUCCUUUUGAGAGAACUUGGAUGUCUUCUGAUUAUUAACAAGCUAGCUUUACUACAGCUUCAUUGGGAGAAAUCAAACUUCAAUUGAAAUAUUGUGCAAUAAUUCCAACCAAUAUCCAUAAACAGAAAAGAAAUAAAUGAAUAUCAAUUGAUAAAUGUUUUGCAAAGGACCAAAUAAUAAUAAAUUGUUGAGACUAAGAUUUUAAGAUUAUUAAAAAAAAAUCUCAGAAGAGAAUCAAAGAGCAAAAAAAAAAGACCCAUAAUCUAUAUUUGCACUGGGGUAAGCUCAUCUAAACUACAUGGGCAAACAAAGUGGAUUAAUUUAGGAGCCACACAGUGGGUAGUUGAUCAGUCAAGACCAAUGCAAAACUGGUAGAUUCUAUUUCCAAACUUUUUGUUUUCCUGUCUCCACAUAAUGAAU